rnacentral:rRNA from 1 species
ACGGAGGAUCCGAGCGUUAUCCGGAUUUAUUGGGUUUAAAGGGAGCGUAGAUGGGUUGUUAAGUCAGUUGUGAAAGUUUGCGGCUCAACCGUAAAAUUGCAAUUGAUACUGGCAGUCUUGAGUACAGUUGAGGUAGGCGGAAUUCGUGGUGUAGCGGUGAAAUGCUUAGAUAUCACGAAGAACUCCGAUUGCGAAGGCAGCCUGCUAAGCUGCAACUGACAUUGAGGCUCGAAAGUGUGGGUAUCAAACAGGAUUAGAUACCCUGGUAGUCCACACGGUAAACGAUGAAUACUCGCUGUUUGCGAUAUACUGCAAGCGGCCAAGCGAAAGCGUUAAGUAUUCCACCUGGGGAGUACGCCGGCAACGGUG